rnacentral:rRNA from 1 species
GUGAGGAAUAUUGGUCAAUGGGCGGGAGCCUGAACCAGCCAAGUCGCGUGAAGGAAGAAGGAUCUAUGGUUCGUAAACUUCUUUUGCAGGGGAAUAAAGUGCAGGACGUGUCCUGUUUUGUAUGUACCCUGAGAAUAAGGAUCGGCUAACUCCGUGCCAGCAGCCGCGGUAAUACGGAGGAUCCGAGCGUUAUCCGGAUUUAUUGGGUUUAAAGGGUGCGUAGGUGGUUUGAUAAGUCAGCGGUGAAAGUUUGCAGCUUAACUGUAAAAAUGCCGUUGAAACUGUCGGACUUGAGUGUAAAUGAGGUAGGCGGAAUGCGUGGUGUAGCGGUGAAAUGCAUAGAUAUCACGCAGAACUCCGAUUGCGAAGGCAGCUUACUGGGAUGCAACUGACGCUCAUGCACGAAAGCGUGGGGAUCAAACAGGAUUAGAUACCCCAGUAGUCC